rnacentral:rRNA from 1 species
UACGUAGGGUGCAGGCGUUAAUCGGAAUUACUGGGCGUAAAGCGUGCGCAGGCGGUUUGCUAAGACAGGUGUGAAAUCCCCGGGCUUAACCUGGGAACUGCGCUUGUUACUGGCAGGCUUGAGUGUGGCAGAGGGGGGUGGAAUUCCGACGUGUAGCGUGAAAUGCGUAGAGAUGUGGAGGAACACCGAUGGCGAAGGCAGCCCCCUGGGCUAACACUGACGCUCAUGCACGAAAGCGUGGGGAGCAAACAGG